AAACGUUCACCCCUCUUUCGGGGGGCGCAGACACUCCAAGCCACGGAACGGGGACUUGGA
rfam:Synechococcus sp. WH 8102 complete genome.